rnacentral:rRNA from 1 species
UAUUGGGAUCCGAUUUAGCCAUGCUAGUUGUACGAGUUCAGACUCGUAGCGAAUAGCUCAGUAACACGUGGCCAAACUACCCUUCGGAACACAAUACCCUCGGGAAACUGAGGCCAAUAGUGUAUACCGUACCACCACUGGAAUGAGUGGUACGCCAAACGCUCCGGCGCCGAAGGAUGUGGCUGCGGCCGAUUAGGUAGACGGUGGGGUAACGGCCCACCGUGCCAAUAAUCGGUAUGGGUCAUGAGAGUGAGAACCCAGAGACGGAAUCUGAGACAAGAUUCCGGGCCCUACGGGGCGCAGCAGGCGCGAAACCUUUACACUGCACGACAGUGCGAUAGGGGGAUCCCAAGUGCACAGGCAUAGCGCCUGUGCUUUUCGGUACCCUAAGGCGGUACCAGAAUAAGGGCUGGGCAAGACCGGUGCCAGCCGCCGCGGUAAUACCGGCAGCCCAAGUGAUGGCCGAUCUUAUUGGGCCUAAAGCGUCCGUAGCUGGCCGCGCAAGUCCAUCGGGAAAUCCACCUGCUCAACAGGUGGGCGCCCGGUAGAAACUGCGUGGCUUGGGACCGGAAGGCGCGACGGGUACGUCCGGGGUAGGAGUGAAAUCCCGUAAUCCUGGACGGACCGCCGAUGGCGAAAGCACGUCGCGAGAACGGAUCCGACAGUGAGGGACGAAAGCCAGGGUCUCGAACCGGAUUAGAUACCCGGGUAGUCCUGGCCGUAAACAAUGUCUGCUAGGUGUGGCUCCCACUACGAGUGGGUGCUGUGCCGUAGGGAAGCCGCUAAGCAGACCGCCUGGGAAGUACGUCCGCAAGGAUGAAACUUAAAGGAAUUGGCGGG